rnacentral:rRNA from 1 species
AUACGGAGGAUGCGAGCGUUAUCCGGAUUUAUUGGGUUUAAAGGGUGCGCAGGCGGGAGAUUAAGUCGGCGGUGAAAUUUUUCAGCUCAACUGGAAAAGUGCCUUCGAAACUGGUUUCCUUGAGUGUAGAUGAAGUAGGCGGGAUUUGUGGGGUUGCGGUGAAAUGCAUAGAUAUCACGAGGAACUCCGAUUGCGCAGGCAGCUUACUAAACUACUACUGACGCUCAGGCACGAAGGCGUGGGGAUCAAACAGGAUUAGAUACCCUGGUAGUCCACGCAGUAAACGAUGAUUACUAGCUGUUUGCGAUACAAUGUAAGCGGCUGAGCGAAAGCGUUAAGUAAUCCACCUGGGGAGUACGUUCGCAAGAAUGAAACUCAAAUGAAUUGGCGGGG